AUUGAACGAUGGCGGCAGGCUUAACACAUGCAAGUCGAGCGAGCGGCGGACGGGUGAGUAAUGUCUGGGAAACUGCCUGAUGGAGGGGGAUAACUACUGGACACGGUAGCUAAUACCGCAUACCAUCCGAUUUGAACAUAUGGGAUUAGCUUGUAGGUGGGGUAAUGGCUCACCUAGGCGACGAUCCCUAGCUUGUCUGAGAGGAGGAACAGCCACACUGGAACUGAGACACGGUCCAGACUCCUACGGGAGGCAGCAGUGGGGAAUAUUGCACAAUGGGCGCAAGCCUGAUGCAGCCAUGCCGCGUGUGUGAAGAAGGCCUUCGGGUUGUAAAGCACUUUCAGCGAGGAGGCGUUACUCGCAGAAGAAGCACCGGCUAACUCCGUGCCAGCAGCCGCGGUAAUUC
rnacentral:rRNA from 1 species